rnacentral:lncRNA from 1 species
CAAACACAAAGGAGUAGGUUCAGUAAGACCCCUUUUUGGCCCCAAAAUAUAGCAGUUUUACAAAAUUGUGAAAAUGUAAUCUUUUAGUUAUUUACUAGAAAGUAUAAUGCUUCUGCUACAUAAAUAUGGGCUGUUUUUGACAAUACAAUGCACAGAUAUCGGGUACUAGCAUCAUUAAGUCAUGCUAAAUUAUUGAAAUCUUCACAGUUUUAGCAUUUUAGUUAAAUUUUAGACGAUUUCCGUCUUGAAUGAAAGUGGCCGC